GCGACCGUGGCGAAAUUGGUAUACGCGCAAGAUUUAGGAUCUUGUGGGGUUUCCCCGUGUGGGUUCGAGUCCCUCCGGUCGCA
rnacentral:tRNA from 1 species